UGCCAUAGCAACUCGCCCUCUUGCCGACACGUGCAGGCUCUCGGGUGCCGCUUUCUGUUCAGAGUUGGAGCUGGAGAGUGUCUACAAGGCACAUAGUCAGACUUGCCGAACCACAGGAAUCAGCAGGUUGGAGAUUCAGUUUUCAAACAGCUCCAACUGGCUCCCAAGAGUGAUUGCACUACUCCAGCGAAAGGAAACAUUCACCCAUACAAGAACAGAUCAAUAAUCACAAAGCUGUGCUGAUCUGUUGGAGCAGAUGUCGCCAGCACCACAGCUGUAAUGAGAGGACUUGAAACAACAGCACUCACCUCAGCCACGUGAUCCUCAGGGGCAUCCCCUCUGCAUCUGCUUCAGCCACAUGAUUCAGUAGGCACAUCCCCAGCACGUGCCUUGGCCACGAGGAGCCACAUGAUCCUUUGGGCACCUCCAACUGGUGAUUUAGUUAAUGUUGGAGAGUUUGGAAGAGAAAAUGUUGUGAAUGUAAAACAACUAAGCAAAACAGAAAUAAAAAGGUAUUUGUUCUGGGCUGGGGUUGUGGCUCAGUGGUAGAGCGCUCACCUAGCAAGGCC